rnacentral:rRNA from 1 species
AUUGAACGCUGGCGGCAGGCUUAACACAUGCAAGUCGAGCGAGCGGCGGACGGGUGAGUAAUGUCUGGGAAACUGCCUGAUGGAGGGGGAUAAAUACUGGAAACGGUAGCUACUACCGCAUACCAUCAGAUGUGCCCAGAUGGGAUUAGCUAGUAGGUGGGGUAAUGGCUCACCUAGGCGAAGAUCCCUCGCUGGUCUGAGAGGGUGACCCGUCACACGUGAACUGAGCCACGGUCCAGACUCCUACGUGAGGCAGCAGUGGGGAAUAGUGCACAAUGGGCGCAAGCCUGAUGCAGCCAUGCCGCGUGUGUGAAGAAGGCCUUCGGGUUGUAAAGCACGUUCAGCGAGGAGGCGUUACUCGCAGAAGAAGCACCGGCUAACUCCGUGCCAGCCGCCGCGGUAAUUC